UUGUGUAGUGCGAUGUGGGGACGGAUCUUAAUAGGUCAUCCGGGUGUUGGAUAUCCCGGUUUAGGCAGAUGUAGGCGACAGGUAGGCAAAUCCGCCUGUCAUAUACCGAGGCUGCCGAUCGAGCGAGCUUGCUCGCGAAGUGAUUGAACGAGGUUCCAGGAAAAGCCACUAAGCUUCAGCUACACACGACCGUACCGCAAACCGACACUGGUGCGCGAGAUGAGUAUUCUAAGGCGCUUGAGAGAACUCGGGAGAAGGAACUCGGCAAAUUGACACCGUAACUUCGGAAGAAGGUGUGCCCUAGUAGUGUGAAGUGAACAACGGAGCAUGAAUGGGUUGCAAAAAAUCGGUGGCUGCGACUGUUUAUUAAAAACACAGCACUCUGCAAACACGAAAGUGGACGUAUAGGGUGUGACGCCUGCCCGGUGCUGGAAGAUUAAAUGAUGGGGUGCAAGCUCUUGAUUGAAGUCCCAGUAAACGGCGGCCGUAACUAUAACGGUCCUAAGGUAGCGAAAUUCCUUGUCGGGUAAGUUCCGACCUGCACGAAUGGCGUAACGAUGGCCACACUGUCUCCUCCCGAGACUCAGCGAAGUUGAAAUGUUUGUGAUGAUGCAAUCUCCCCGCGGAAAGACUGAAAGACCCCAUGAACCUUUACUGUAGCUUUGUAUUGGACUUUGAACAGAUCUGUGUAGGAUAGGUGGGAGGCUUUGAAGCAGGGUCGCUAGAUCUUGUGGAGCCAACGUUGAAAUACCACCCUGGUGUGUUUGAGGUUCUAACCUAGGUCCAUUAUCUGGAUCGGGGACAGUGCAUGGUAGGCAGUUUGACUGGGGCGGUCUCCUCCCAAAGCGUAACGGAGGAGUUCGAAGGUACGCUAGUUACGGUCGGACAUCGUGACGAUAGUGCAAUGGCAUAAGCGUGCUUAACUGCGAGACUGACAAGUCGAGCAGAUGCGAAAGCAGGACAUAGUGAUCCGGUGGUUCUGUAUGGAAGGGCCAUCGCUCAACGGAUAAAAGGUACUCUGGGGAUAACAGGCUGAUACCGCCCAAGAGUUCAUAUCGACGGCGGUGUUUGGCACCUCGAUGUCGGCUCAUCUCAUCCUGGGGCUGUAGCCGGUCCCAAGGGUAUGGCUGUUCGCCAUUUAAAGAGGUACGUGAGCUGGGUUUAAAACGUCGUGAGACAGUUUGGUCCCUAUCUUCCGUGGGCGCUGCAGAUUUGAGGAAGCCUGCUCCUAGUACGAGAGGACCGGAGUGGACGCACCUCUGGUGUAUCGGUUGUCACGCCAGUGGCAUUGCCGAGUAGCUAUGUGCGGAAGAGAUAACCGCUGAAAGCAUCUAAGCGGGAAACUCGUUCCAAGAUGAGAUCUGCCGGGGCCUUGAGCCCCCUAAAGAGUCGUUCAAGACCAGGACGUUGAUAGGUCAGGUGUGGAAGCGCAGUAAUGCGUUAAGCUAACUGAUACUAAUUGCUCGUGCGGCUUGACCCU
rnacentral:rRNA from 1 species